rnacentral:rRNA from 1 species
UACGUAGGGACCAAGCGUUGUUCGGAUUUACUGGGCGUAAAGGGCGCGUAGGCGGCUCUGUAAGUCACUUGUGAAAUCUCCGGGCUUAACUCGGAACGGUCAAGUGAUACUGCAGUGCUAGAGUGCGGAAGGGGCAAUCGGAAUUCUUGGUGUAGCGGUGAAAUGCGUAGAUAUCAAGAGGAACACCUGAGGUGAAGACGGGUUGCUGGGCCGACACUGACGCUGACAGCGCGAAAGCCAGGGGAGCAAACGGG